rnacentral:rRNA from 1 species
CUGGCUCAGAACGAACGCUGGCGGCAUGCCUAAUACAUGCAAGUCGAACGGAGAUAGCAAUAUCUUAGUGGCGAACGGGUGCGUAACACGUGAGCAACCUGCCUUAUACAUCGGAAUAACAGCUGGAAACGGCUGCUAAUACCGGAUAAGACCACACCAAGGCAUCUUGGAGAGGUCAAAGCGAAUUAGCGGUAUAAGAUGGGCUCGCGUCCAAUUAGCUAGUUGGUGGGGUAACGGCCCACCAAGGCAACGAUUGGUAGCCGACUUGAGAGAGUGAUCGGCCACACUGGAACUGAGACACGGUCCAGACUCCUACGGGAGGCAGCAGUAGGGAAUAUUGGGCAAUGGAGGAAACUCCUUACCCAGCAAUGCCGCGUGAAUGAUGAAGGUCUUAUGGAUUGUAAAGUUCUUUAAUUGGGGACGAAAGAAAUGACGGUACCCAAAGAAUAAGCCCCGGCUAACUAUGUGCCAGCAGCCGC